GCUGGGCGUGGUGGCACAUGCCCGUAAUCCCAGUGUCUCGGGAGGCUGAGGCAGGAGGAUCCUGAGUUCAAAGCCAGCCUCAGCAAAAGCAAGGCUAAGCAACUCAGUGAGACCCUGUCUCUA
rnacentral:sRNA from 1 species